AGAGUUUGAUCCUGGCUCAGGACGAACGCUGGCGGCGUGCUUAACACAUGCAAGUCGAGCGGAAAGGCCCUUCGGGGUACUCGAGCGGCGAACGGGUGAGUAACACGUGAGUAAUCUGCCCCAUGCUUUGGGAUAACCCUCGGAAACGGGGGCUAAUACCGAAUAUUCACGACGGGUCGCAUGGUUUGUUGUGGAAAGUUUUUCGGCGUGGGAUGGGCUCGCGGCCUAUCAGCUUGUUGGUGGGGUAGUGGCCUACCAAGGCGACGACGGGUAGCCGGCCUGAGAGGGCGACCGGCCACACUGGGACUGAGACACGGCCCAGACUCCUACGGGAGGCAGCAGUGGGGAAUAUUGCACAAUGGGCGGAAGCCUGAUGCAGCGACGCCGCGUGAGGGAUGACGGCCUUCGGGUUGUAAACCUCUUUCAGCAGGGACGAAGCGAGAGUGACGGUACCUGCAGAAGAAGCGCCGGCCAACUACGUGCCAGCAGCCGCGGUAAGACGUAGGGCGCGAGCGUUGUCCGGAUUUAUUGGGCGUAAAGAGCUCGUAGGCGGCUUGUCGCGUCGGCUGUGAAAACCCGCGGCUCAACCGCGGGCCUGCAGCCGAUACGGGCAGGCUGGAGUUCGGUAGGGGAGACUGGAAUUCCUGGUGUAGCGGUGAAAUGCGCAGAUAUCAGGAGGAACACCGAUGGCGAAGGCAGGUCUCUGGGCCGAUACUGACGCUGAGGAGCGAAAGCGUGGGGAGCGAACAGGAUUAGAUACCCUGGUAGUCCACGCUGUAAACGUUGGGCGCUAGGUGUGGGGGACCUCUCCGGUUCUCUGUGCCGCAGCUAACGCAUUAAGCGCCCCGCCUGGGGAGUACGGCCGCAAGGCUAAAACUCAAAGGAAUUGACGG
rnacentral:rRNA from 1 species